UACUUCCCUCUCAGGCAGAGCUGUUCUAGAGAAAAUGGAGUUGAAUCUCUGACCAUAGCUGAAAGGACCCAAGAGGAAAGUUCAUGGAAAAUGUUAUGCAAAUCUACCUCCUCUAUAGAAGAAUGGAGAAUUUUAACUUCAUAGGCAGCUUAAUUCCAGAAUUCUACUUUCUACUUAGAGAAUAGAGACUUUGGGGAGAGAGGUACUAUGAAUCUGAAAGUGACUUUUUAGAAGUACAGAAGACAGAAGGUUUCUGCUGGAAUGUCAAAGAGUUGCCCUGAUAGCAACCCCAAUUCAAUUUACUUCUGGAAAAAAAGCUAUGGGCUACUUGACUUGAAUGGAAUUUACUGCUUAGUAAGUACUUGUUGGAUUGGAUUGGACCCAGAGAUUUCUUCAACUUGCCAAAGGCAUUCUGGACCAAAGAAAACCUGGAACAAAGGAGCAGCAAGAGACUGUCACAGAGGGAAAAUUGACAAACCAGAAAAACACUGGAUUGAAGGACUAUUAUAGUCAGGUAUGCUCACCAUUGAUAACCUAAGAGGAAGCUAUGAAGAUUCAAAGGUUUAAUAAGUAG
ensembl:lncRNA